CCUUAACGACGAUAUGCUGUGAACCCGGUCAGAUCUGGAAGGAAGCAGCCGCAGCAGCAGAUUCGGGUGUUAGGGCAAGGCUGU
rnacentral:SRP_RNA from 1 species